UCGGUGCGCUGCUACCAUGCAGUCGACGAUGAAACCGCUUCGGUGGUGGAUUAGUGGCGAACGGGUGAGUAACACGUGGGCAAUCUGCCCUUCACUCUGGGACAAGCCCUGGAAACGGGGUCUAAUACCGGAUAACACUCUGUCCCGCAUGGGACGGGGUUGAAAGCUCCGGCGGUGAAGGAUGAGCCCGCGGCCUAUCAGCUUGUUGGUGGGGUAAUGGCCUACCAAGGCGACGACGGGUAGCCGGCCUGAGAGGGCGACCGGCCACACUGGGACUGAGACACGGCCCAGACUCCUACGGGAGGCAGCAGUGGGGAAUAUUGCACAAUGGGCGAAAGCCUGAUGCAGCGACGCCGCGUGAGGGAUGACGGCCUUCGGGUUGUAAACCUCUUUCAGCAGGGAAGAAGCGAAAGUGACGGUACCUGCAGAAGAAGCGCCGGCUAACUACGUGCCAGCAGCCGCGGUAAUACGUAGGGCGCAAGCGUUGUCCGGAAUUAUUGGGCGUAAAGAGCUCGUAGGCGGCUUGUCACGUCGGAUGUGAAAGCCCGGGGCUUAACCCCGGGUCUGCAUUCGAUACGGGCUAGCUAGAGUGUGGUAGGGGAGAUCGGAAUUCCUGGUGUAGCGGUGAAAUGCGCAGAUAUCAGGGG
rnacentral:rRNA from 1 species